rnacentral:rRNA from 1 species
CCAGACUCCUACGGGAGGCAGCAGUGGGGAAUAUUGCACAAUGGGGGAAACCCUGAUGCAGCGACGCCGCGUGAGUGAAGAAGUAAUUCGUUAUGUAAAGCUCUAUCAGCAGGGAAGAAAAUGACGGUACCUGAGUAAGAAGCCCCGGCUAACUACGUGCCAGCAGCCGCGGUAAUACGUAGGGGGCAAGCGUUAUCCGGAUUUACUGGGUGUAAAGGGAGCGUAGACGGCAGUGCAAGUCUGGAGUGAAAGGCGGGGGCUCAACCCCCGGACUGCUCUGGAAACUGUAGAGCUGGAGUGCGGGAGGGGCAGGCGGAAUUCCUAGUGUAGCGGUGAAAUGCGUAGAUAUUAGGAGGAACACCGGCGGCGAAGGCGGCCUGCUGGACCGUAACUGACGUUGAGGCUCGAAAGCGUGGGGAGCAAACAGGAUUAGAUACCCUGGUAU